rnacentral:rRNA from 1 species
UACGGGGGGGGUAAGCGUUGUUCGGAAUUACUGGGCGUAAAGGGCGCGUAGGCGGCUGGCUCAGUCGGGCCUGUAAGUGCGGGGCUCAACCCCGUGAUGGGCUCGGGACGGGCUGGCUGGGGCGCGGUCGAGGGAGACGGAAUGCCGGGUGUAGUGGUGAAAUGCGUAGAGAUCCGGCGGAACACCGGUGGUGAAGACGGUCUCCUGGGCCGAGGGCCGACGCUGAGGCGCGAGAGCGUGGGGAGCGAACCGG